AUGUUUGUGGGAUGCAUUCUGAGUAUUCUUGCUGACCGUCUGUGUGAUGUGUACAUGCACAUAAACGACGGAAAAAUUCUGUGGGAUGCACUGAAUGCAAAAUUCGGUGCAACAGAUGCAGGCAGUGAACUGUACAUCAUGGAGAGUUUUCAUGACUACAAGAUGGUGAAUAACCGUUCUGUGGUUGAACAAGCUCAUGAGAUACAGUGCAUUGUGAAGGAACUUGAACUCCUUAAAUGUGUUCUACCCGACAAAUUCGUGGCUGGGUGCAUGAUUGCAAAGUUGCCUCCUUCAUGGAGGAAUUUCGCCACAACUCUGAAGCAUAAGAGACAGGAGAUAUCAGUUGAAAAUCUGAUUGCAUCUCUUGAUGUUGAAGAAAAAGCUCGGGCUAAAGAUACCACUGAAAAAGGAGGUGAGGUUCAGCCUACUGCUAACAUGGUGCAGAGGUACCCACAGAACAAGAACAAAGGGAAGAACAAACCUGUUGUCAACAAGCCUACCAAGACUACUACCUUCAAGAAGAAGAAGUUCAACAAGGUUGAGCUAGAGUGCUACGCCUGUGGGAAGCCUGGACACUUUUCCAAGGAAUGCCCUGAACAUGCAGACCGCAGAGGGAAAACAAGCUCCAAGACUGUCAACAUGGUGACCGCUAGCAAUACUGAUGGGUAUGGUAAUUUACCUAUUGUGCUUUCAGUAUUUCAAUCAUCUUCGUGGUGGAUUGAUUCGGGUGCUAACGUUCAUGUGUGUGCUGACAUCUCCCUGUUUACUUCUUAUCAAGUCGCAAGGGAUUCUUCCGUCCUAAUGGGGAAUGGGUCACAUGCUUCUGUUCGUGGCAUUGGCACGGUGGAUCUGAAGUUUACUUCGGGAAAGAUCGUGCAACUAAGGAACAUGCAGCAUGUCCCUACUAUGAACAAGAAUCUAGUUAGCGGCUCCCUUCUAUGUCGAGAUGGAUUUAAGCUAGUUUUAGAGUCCAAUAAAGUAAUCGUGUCAAGAUUUGGACAAUUUAUAGGAAAAGGCUAUGAGUGCGGAGGCUUGUUCCGCUUUUCUCUUUCAGAUUUUUGCAAUAAGUCAAUAAACCAAAUUUGUGCUAGUGUUAAUGAUGAUACAAGUAUUUGGCACUCUCGUUUAUGUCAUAUUAAUUUUGGUUUAAUGUCUCGGCUAUCCAGCAUGAGUUUAAUUCCGAACUUCACAGUUGCCAAAGGUUCUAAGUGCCAUAGUUGUGUGCAAUCUAAGCAACCUCGAAAGCCUCAUAAGGCUGCCGAGGAGAGAAACUUGGCACCUCUAGAACUCAUACAUUCUGAUCUUUGUGAGAUGAAUGGUGUGUUGACAAAAGGUGGAAAGAGAUAUUUCAUGACUUUGAUUGAUGAUGCGACUAGAUUUUGCUAUGUUUAUUUGUUGCAAACUAAAGAUGAAGCAUUAGACUACUUUAAAAUCUAUAAAGCUGAAGUUGAAAAUCAACUAGAGAGAAAGAUCAAGCGUCUUAGGUCCGAUCGUGGUGGAGAGUAUUUUCCAAAAGUUUUUGAUGAAUUUUGUGAGGAACAUGGUAUUAUUCAUGAGAGGACGCCUCCCUAUUCACCUCAAUCAAAUGGAGUGGCCGAGAGGAAAAACCUCACAUUGACUGACUUGGUGAAUGUCAUGUUAGACACUGCUGGUUUAUCUAAGGCAUGGUGGGGGGAGGCUCUAUUGACUUCAUGUCAUGUCCUGAAUAGAGUUCCCAACAAUAAUAAAGAGAAAACCCCUUAUGAGGAGUGGGUUGGGAGAAAACCAUCACUUUAUUUUUUGCGCACUUGGGGAUGUUUGGCAAAGGUCAAUAUUCCUAUUCCUAAGAAACGCAAACUUGGACCAAAGACAGUGGAUUGUGUCUUUCUAGGGUAUGCUCAACGGAGCAUUGCUUAUAGGUUUUUAGUGGUAAAAUCUGAAGUACCUGAUAUGCAUGUUGAUACUAUAAUGGAAUCUCGUGAUGCAACAUUUUUUGAGAACAUAUUUCCUAUGAAAGAUAUGCAUAGCAUUUCUAGAUUUUCUUCUGAAAUAAUUCCUGAAUCUAGUACAACUGAUGAAUAUUUCGAACAAUCACAUGAGGAAGUCCUUGAGAAGGAUAACAAUGAAGUUCCUAGAAGGAACAAGAGACAAAGGAUUGCAAAAUCCUUUGGUGAUGAUUUCAUUGUAUACCUUGUGGACGACACACCCAAGACGAUUGCAGAAGCAUAUGCAUCUCCGGAUGUAGAUGAUUGGAAAGAAGCUGUUCAUAAUGAGAUGGACUCAAUUCUUUCUAAUGGAACUUGGGAACUUACUGAUAGACCAUAUGGUUGUAAACCUGUGGGCUGUAAGGGGGUGUUCAAAAAGAAGCUAAAGCCUGAUGGUACUAUUGAUAAGUACAAGGCGCGGCUAGUGGCCAAGGGCUACACUCAGAAAGAAGGCGAAGAUUACUUUGACACCUAUUCACCCGUUGCUAGAAUGACCACCAUUCGAGUGUUACUUUCCUUGGCUGCCUCUUAUGGUCUUAUCAUUCAUCAAAUGGAUGUAAAGACAGCUUUUCUCAAUGGAGAGUUGGAAGAGGAGAUCUAUAUGGAUCAGCCUGACGGGUUUGUGGUAAAGGGUGAAGAGAGAAAGGUGUGCAAGUUGUUAAAAUCUUUGUAUGGUCUGAAACAGGCACCUAAGCAAUGGCAUUAG
rnacentral:rRNA from 1 species